rnacentral:lncRNA from 10 species
UGCAUGUAAAUGUUGAGCCUUCGACUGUAUAUACAUGGCAGAAAGAGAUACAUAAUCUUUAAAGUGAGGACAAUUCAGCCUGCUGACCUACUCAGUGCAGAACAGAGACAAGAUCAAUCAUUCCUCCACCAGCCAGAAAUGUAUGCAUAAUUGAUUCUUCCUUUACUCUUUUUUCUUUUAUCUUCAAACAUUCACCUUAAUUUUAUGUGAAAUGUAGAUUUGCUGGGCAUUAACUAAAGUCUCACAAGAAUGUAACCAUUUGCUCCUACCCACCUCUUUCCCUACAUGUCUUUCUCCCUUUAGGAAAAUGUAUAAAUAUAAACCUUCUGAAAACCUAUUCAGAAAAACAGCAACAGAUGCCUCUGUGAUUUACAUUUUCCUGGCUGUGCCCUAAAGCUGGCUUAAAAACUCUGAUUGAUUGAGAUGCCUGCCUCAGUCACUCAUUUUGG